GUGACGUAUUCACAUUAUAUAAAUCGCCAGCAAUUUAUAUAUUAAGAUAAACAAACAGUUAUUGAUGAUCUCAAAUUUGUCUAUCUGUACUUGUAAUCUUUUAGCUGUAUGUUCGGCUUUAAGUCAUGUAAACCACAGAACAAUCCACAGGAAGUUGUUUCAUUAUGAGAAUAAAAUACAACUAGACAGUGGCUUUACACAGAGAGCAUUUUCAGACUUGAGAAAAAUUCUUGGCCGUAUAACUGCAAUGCAAUGUUUCCUUCUUCCCUUAAGGUAAUAGUGGAGAUGGAAGCAGAACACAUAGAGGACAUAGAGUGUACUAAAGGUACAGGAUGUCACCCUCAACUAUUGAAGGAUAUUCAAGGCUCAGCUACUUUAGUAUCUCUGAAGAAAUUUAUAAAGAACUUCUAGAUUUUGG
rnacentral:lncRNA from 1 species